rfam:Ovis aries breed Texel chromosome 1, whole genome shotgun sequence.
UCCCUGGUGGUCUUGUGGUUUAAGACUCUGCACUGCCAAUACAGUGGGCCCAGGUUCAAUCCCUGGUCAGGGAG